AAACACAUUAUUGGUGGCUUCACCCAACAUAUUAUUGUAUAUAGUUUGAUUGUUACGCUAAAUCAAGAUAAAAAUUGUUCUUUCAUAGACGGAGGACCUACUACUAUAAAGGGGCACAUCUAUAAAAGGACUAUAAUUUUGCUAAGGAAGGCUUUUUGGUGUAUUCUCCUUAUUGAAGACAAAAACAAAAAUAAUGGUGGCUUCAUCAAGCAUAUUAUUGUAUAUAGUUUAAUUGUUAUGCUAAAUCCAUAUAAAAAUUAUGUUUCCAUGGAUGAAGGACCCGACACUAUAAAAAGGAUACAUCUAUAAAAGAUAUGUGUACUAGACUUUUUUUUGCGAAAGAAUGCUUUUUGGUGCACUCUCCUUAUUGAAGACAAAAACAUAUUAUUGGUGGUUUCACCCAACAUAUUGUUGUAUAUAGUUUAAUUAUUAUGCUAAAUCAAGAUAAAAAUUGUGUUUCCAUAGAUGAAGGACCUGACACUAUAAAGGGAUACAUCUAUAAAA